rnacentral:lncRNA from 1 species
AGCAUUCUAGGCUGGUGUGAGGCAUGUGAACUUCCAUACUAGACUUUGUGAAACACAGAACUCCAUCUUUCAGGAGUCCGUGUGUGCAAGGAACUCCUUACAGCCAACAACAUCACCUAUGUGGGGAUCCGAGCUUAUCUUCCCAGCAAGUUCUGUGACUUUCCACAUAUCCCUUGACCUCAGGCUUCCUCAGUUCCCUUCACUACAGAAUGAGUGUAUUUCACCAAGAGCUCAUUUCCAUACAUAAACAGAAGACUCCUGUUUCUACAACUUCCUAACUCCUAAAAGGACAGAAACUUUGCCAAGGAAAGCUGCUCUGAGAAGCUGAACGUGAGGAGAGUAUUCUAGACCAGUCCUGUAGGUUCUGCUUUGAUCUGUAAUGAGACACAAAGGCCAACCAUAAAUUGUUCUUCAAGAAAUAAGAUACAUGUGCCAGACG